GACGAACGCUGGCGGCGUGCUUAACACAUGCAAGUCGAACGGAAAGGCCCUGCUUUUGUGGGGUGCUCGAGUGGCGAACGGGUGAGUAACACGUGAGUAACCUGCCCUUGACUUUGGGAUAACUUCACGAAACUGGGGCUAAUACCGGAUAGGAUCUCCUGCUGCAUGUUGGGGGUUAGAAAGUUUCGGCGGUUGGGGAUGGACUCGCUGCUUAUCCGCUUGUUUGUGGGGUAGUGGCUUACCAAGGCUUUGACGGGUAGCCGGCCUGAGAGGGGUACCGGCCACAUGGGGACUGAGAGACGGAGCAGACGCCUACGGGAGGCAGCAGGGGGGAGUAUGGCACAACGGGGGGAAGCGUGAGGCAGAAACGUCGGGUGCGGGAUGACGGGCUUCGGGUGGUAAACAGCUGUCGAAUGUGACGAAGAGGGAGUGACGGUAAUGGGUAAAGAAGCACCGGCUAACUACGUG
rnacentral:rRNA from 1 species